rnacentral:rRNA from 1 species
UGGGGAAUAUUGCACAAUGGGCGCAAGCCUGAUGCAGCCAUGCCGCGUGUAUGAAGAAGGCCUUCGGGUUGUAAAGUACUUUCAGCGGGGAGGAAGGGAGUAAAGUUAAUACCUUUGCUCAUUGACGUUACCCGCAGAAGAAGCACCGGCUAACUCCGUGCCAGCAGCCGCGGUAAUACGGAGGGUGCAAGCGUUAAUCGGAAUUACUGGGCGUAAAGCGCACGCAGGCGGUUUGUUAAGUCAGAUGUGAAAUCCCCGGGCUCAAACUGGGAACUGCAUCUGAUACUGGCAAGCUUGAGUCUCGUAGAGGGGGGUAGAAUUCCAGGUGUAGCGGUGAAAUGCGUAGAGAUCUGGAGGAAUACCGGUGGCGAAGGCGGCCCCCUGGACGAAGACUGACGCUCAGGUGCGAAAGCGUGGGGAGCAAACAGG